rnacentral:rRNA from 1 species
UACGUAGGGUGCGAGCGUUGUCCGGAAUUACUGGGCGUAAAGAGCUCGUAGGUGGUUUGUCGCGUUGUCCGUGAAAACUCACAGCUUAACUGUGGGCGUGCGGGCGAUACGGGGCAGACUGGAGUACUGCAGGGGAGACUGGAAUUCCUGGUGGUAGCGGUGGAAUGCGCAGAUAUCAGGAGGAACACCGGUGGCGAAGGCGGGGUCUCUGGGCAGUAACUGACGCUGGAGGAGCGAAAGCGUGGGGAGCGAACAGG